AAAUGAAUAGACGGGGGCCCGCACAAGCAGUGGAGUAUGUGGUUUAAUUCGAAGCAACGCGAAGAACCUUACCAGGACUUGACAUGCACUUGGAUAUGCUAGAAAUAGCGUAGUCUUUCGGGACAGGUGCACAGGUGGUGCAUGGUUGUCGUCAGCUCGUGUCGUGAGAUGUUGGGUUAAGUCCCGCAACGAGCGCAACCCUUGUCGUUAGUUGCCAUCAUUAAGUUGGGCACUCUAACGAGACUGCCGGUGACAAAUCGGAGGAAGGUGGGGACGACGUCAAAUCAUCAUGCCCCUUAUGUUCUGGGCUACACACGUACUACAAUGGCCAUUACAGAGGGAAGCGAAGGAGCAAUCCGGAGCAAAUCCCGAAAGAUGGUCCCAGUUCGGAUUGUGGGCUGAAACCCGCCCACAUGAAGCAGGAAUUGCUAGUAAUGGCAGGUCAGCAUACUGCCGUGAAUACGUUCCCGGGCCUUGUACACACCGCCCGU
rnacentral:rRNA from 1 species